rnacentral:rRNA from 1 species
GGCGCACGGGUGCGUAACGCGCUAUGCAACCUACCUUUCACAGGGGGAUAGCCCGAAGAAAUUUGGAUUAAUACCCCAUAAUAUUAUUGGAUGGCAUCAUUUGAUAAUUAAAACUGCGGUGGUGAAAGAUGGGCAUGCGUCCUAUUAGCUAGUUGGAGUGGUAACGGCACCCCAAGGCUACGAUAGGUAGGGGUCCUGAGAGGGAGAUCCCCCACACUGGUACUGAGACAGGGACCAGACUCCUACGGGAGGCAGCAGUGAGGAAUAUUGGUCAAUGGUCGGAAGACUGAACCAGCCAUGCCGCGUGCAGGAAGAAUGCCUUAUGGGUUGUAAACUGCUUUUAUAUGGGAAGAAUAAGGCGUACGUGUACGUUGGUGACGGUACCAUAUGAAUAAGCAUCGGCUAACUCCGUGCCAGCAGCCGCGGUAAUACGGAGGAUGCGAGCGUUAUUCGGAAUCAUUGGGUUUAAAGGGUCUGNAGGCGGGCUAUUAAGUCAGGGGUGAAAGGUUUCCAGCUUAACUGAGAAAUUGCCUUUGAUACUG